CAGCCGCCGCGGGAAUACGAAGGGUGCAAGCGUUAAUCGGAAUUACUGGGCGUAAAGAGCUCGCAGGCGGUUUCUUAAGUCUGAUGUGAAAGCCCCCGGCUCAACCGGGGAGGGUCAUUGGAAACUGGGAAACUUGAGUGCAGAAGAGGAGAGUGGAAUUCCACGUGUAGCGGUGAAAUGCGUAGAGAUGUGGAGGAACACCAGUGGCGAAGGCGACUCUCUGGUCUGUAACUGACGCUGAGGAGCGAAAGCGUGGGGAGCGAACAGGAUUAGAUACCCCAGUAGUCCCUGUCUCUUAUAC
rnacentral:rRNA from 1 species